CAACCUCUUCACUCAAGCUAUGAUUUUCUGAGAGAAAAAGUUAGAGCUGUCAAGAAGAGGAUAUAUAUUUCCUAACAUUGAGUUCAUGAAAUGAUGUUUAAAGAUGCCUCCUGCAAAAAUAGUUAGAGAAAAUGCUAAUUAUGUGAUAUAAGCAGUUUUGGAGAGUUCUCCAGCUUUUGAUGAGAAAAACUACUUAUUUCUGAGUCAGUGAGGCAUUGGAUCCACAGAUACUUUAUUGUUGCCCAGGCAUGAAAGCAAUGACCAACAGAGAGAUGGAGGUGCUAAGAUAAGGAACUCUGGAAGAAUGAACAAUGGAAGAGGUUAGCCAAAUAGUGCAAGUAAACAAGGAAAGACAAUAAACAAACAGCCUAAGCAAUUCUGAAAUGGAAUGUAAAAGCACUGAUUUUCCUUAAAUGUUUUCUCGUAAUUAAAAAAAGUCACUACCCAGAGAUCGUCAGCUAUUAGUGAAGUUUUUGUGUCUAAUUUUUAAAUAAAUUAUCUGUUU